rnacentral:rRNA from 1 species
AUUGAACGCUGGCGGCAGGCCUAACACAUGCAAGUCGAGCGGCUGCAGAGUGCUUGCUCCUGGAUUCGGCGGCGGACGGGUGAGUAAUGCCUAGGAAUCUGCCUGGUAGUGGGGUAUAACGUCCGGACACGGGCGCUAAUACCGCAUACGUCCUGAGGGCGUACGUGGGGGAUCUUCGGACCUCACGCUCUCACAUGAUCCUAGGUCGGAUUAGCUAGUUGGUGGGGUAAAGGCCUACCAAGGCGACGAUCCGUAACUGGUCUGAGAGGAUGAUCAGUCACACUGGAACUGAGACACGGUCCAGACUCCUACGGGAGGCAGCAGUGGGGAAUAUUGGACAAUGGGCGAAAGCCUGAUCCAGCCAUGCCGCGUGUGUGAAGAAGGUCUUCGGAUUGUAAAGCCCUUUUAUUGGGGAGGAAGGGCAGUAAGUUAAUACCUCGCUGUUUUGACGGUACCAAAAGAAUAAGCACCGGCUAACUUCGUG